UCCCUCCACAUUCCUUAUCCUUUGGAUCUAAAUAUUGGUCUGAAUGACUAAAAAAGGAAGAAAAGUAAAACUGAUGUGGACUUGGAGUCUUUAGCAAGAUAGAAGUUCAUUUCAAACGUAA
ensembl:snoRNA